rnacentral:lncRNA from 1 species
CUUUCUUUAGUACUUCAUCAAGUUCAUGAAGUAAUUCGGUACUUGUUGCAGAGACAGUCGUCACAGUUGAUGAUAUUACAAAAGUGGAUUUUCAAUAUCUUGGGCCUGUAUUUUGGAUAUUGAAUUAUAGAUUCACUCUGUUCUACAUGUGUCCAUCUAGGACAAAGCGGGAUCUGUGCAUGUCCAGGAGCAAAGCCCGUUUGACAGGCACCCUGGAGAAUGGGGCACGGUGGAGCCUGAUUCACCAGCUGAGCAUUGUGAGCUCAUUAAGACAGAUGACAACCUGACCAGCGCUGGUGCCAAAGAAAACACUGGGGCUCUGAGGGAAGGAGCUGUGACGGAUCAAAGCCAACCUUUGACUACUAUACACUUGAGAAAGGUCAUUGACACCACUGAAUCAAAGGGACAAAAUGGAAAGGCCUUAGACCGCAGCAAAGUGGACAGUACCAUCAUAAAUAAAAGCUCGAAGAGCAAGAUUGCUGCAAGCUCAGAAAGCACAACCUUGCAUGACCUUGUCUACAUCCUUUUGGCUGCUUGGCUAUUUGUGUACUGCCUUCUAGUCCUGCCUCAGAUUGACUCAAGGACGCUUCCUAAACUCCUCUUCAACAUAGAAGAAUGAAUGCAAUAUUAACAUACAAGACAAUUAAUGCUCACACCUACAACUCUGAUCACGUCCUUUAAGUUAAGGAAUAGUUCACCCGAAAAUUAAAGUACAGGCAUUCUGAUAAAGAUUUCCUUUUAUGUUCAGUGGAACAUACAUGAGGGUGAGUAAAUGAUGACAGAAUGUAUUUAUUUGUUUGAGUAUUUUUGAGUGAACUAUCCCUUUAACAUGAACCAGGACCUCUGACCCAGCUCUUUAAGGAAUAAAUAAAAAAGUUAGGAAAAUUGGCCAUAUCGAUCAGCUCAGUUGCCUUUCGAAUUUCCUUUCACAUCUGCACACAAAGAAAAAGUGUUUUUUCUCUCUUUUGGUUGGAGGGUUUUUGUUUCCAGUCAACUUUUAACUGGGUAAUAUUUGGAUGCAUUAGGUGCACAUGAAGCACAAUAACACACAAGAUUAUUUAUAAUGCUUCUGAAG